UACAGAGGGGGCAAGCGUUGUUCGGAAUUACUGGGCGUAAAGGGCGCGUAGGCGGCCCGCUAAGUCGAACGUGAAAUCCCCCGAGCUCAACUCGGGAACUGCGUCCGAUACUGGCGGGCUUGAAUCCGGGAGAGGGAUGCGGAAUUCCAGGUGUAGCGGUGAAAUGCGUAGAUAUCUGGAGGAACACCGGUGGCGAAGGCGGCAUCCUGGACCGGCAUUGACGCUGAGGCGCGAAAAGCGUGGGGGAGCAAACAGG
rnacentral:rRNA from 1 species